rnacentral:rRNA from 1 species
UACAGCGAAACUGCGAAUGGCUCAUUAAAAUCAGUAUCGUUUAUUUGAUAGUACCUUACUACAUGGAUAACCGUGGUAAUUCUAGAGCUAAUACAUGCUAAAAACCCCGACUUCGGAAGGGGUGUAUUUAUUAGAUUAAAAACCAAUGCCCUCCGGGGCUCACUGGUGAUUCAUGAUAACUUCUCGAAUCGCACGGCCUUGCGCCGGCGAUGGUUCAUUCAAAUUUCUGCCCUAUCAACUUUCGACGGCUGGGUCUUGGCCAGCCGUGGUGACAACGGGUAACGGAGGGUUAGGGCUCGACCCCGGAGAAAACGCCUGAGAAACGGCGUUUACAUCCAAGGAAGGCAGCAGGCGCGCAAAUUACCCAAUGCCGACACGGCGAGGUAGUGACGAGAAAUACUGAUACAGGGCUCUUUUGGGUCUUGUAAUUGGAAUGAGUACAAUUUAAAUCUCUUAACGAGGAACAAUUGGAGGGCAAGUCUGGUGCCAGCAGCCGCGGUAAUUCCAGCUCCAAUAGCGUAUAUUAAAGUUGUUGCAGUUAAAAAGCUCGUAGUUGAACCUUGGGCCUGGCUGGCCGGUCCGCCUCACCGCGUGCACUGGUCCGGCCGGGCCUUUCCCUCUGGGGAACCGCAUGCCCUUCACUGGGCGUGUCGGGGAACCAGGACUUUUACUUUGAAAAAAUUAGAGUGUUCAAAGCAGGCCUAUGCUCGAAUACAUUAGCAUGGAAUAAUAGAAUAGGACGUGUGGUUCUAUUUUGUUGGUUUCUAGGACCGCCGUAAUGAUUAAUAGGGACAGUCGGGGGCAUCAGUAUUCAAUUGUCAGAGGUGAAAUUCUUGGAUUUAUUGAAGACUAACUACUGCGAAAGCAUUUGCCAAGGAUGUUUUCAUUAAUCAGGAACGAAAGUUAGGGGAUCGAAGACGAUCAGAUACCGUCGUAGUCUUAACCAUAAACUAUGCCGACUAGGGAUCGGACGGUGUUAUUUUUUGACCCGUUCGGCACCUUACACGAAAGUACAAGUUUCUGGGUCUGG